rnacentral:rRNA from 1 species
UACGUAGGGUGCAAGCGUUGUCCGGAAUCAUUGGGCGUAAAGCGCGCGUAGGCGGCCAGAUAAGUCCGGUGUGAAAGUCACAGGCUCAACCUGUGAAUGCCGCUGGAAACUGUCUGGCUAGAGUCCGGAAGGGGCGAGUGGAAUUCCUGGUGUAGCGGUGAAAUGCGCAGAUAUCAGGAGGAACACCAAUGGCGAAGGCAGCUCGCUGGGACGGUACUGACGCUGAGGCGCGAAAGCGUGGGGAGCGAACAGG